rnacentral:lncRNA from 1 species
GUGUGCUUGGAUAUCUAGUGAGACCUAGGCUUCUUAACAAGGGCUAUGGUGCCAUUAUCUUUGCAGUACAAUGUCACGGCAUCUGAUGGUAUGAUAACCAAUUCUGCAACUAACAUUACAACCAGAAUGCAUCCUACACAUCUACAAUGUACUUUGCUUCCAUUAAUCAAUUAUUUGGAAUUCUUCUAAGAUAUUGACAUAGGAACACAUCCAUG